UGAGGGAUAUUGGUCAAUGGACGGAAGUCUGAACCAGCCAUGCCGCGUGCAGGAUGACGGCCCUAUGGGUUGUAAACUGCUUUUAUUCGGGAAUAAACCUCUUUACGAGUAGAGAGCUGAAGGUACCGAAUGAAUAAGCCCCGGCUAACUACGUGCCAGCAGCCGCGGUAAUACGUAGGGGGCAAGCGUUAUCCGGAUUCAUUGGGCGUAAAGAGCGCGUAGGCGGCUUGUUAAGCGAGAUGUGAAAACCGGGGGCUUAACCCGCGGCCUGCAUCUCGAACUGGCAGGCUUGAGUCUGGUAGAGGAGUGUGGAAUUCCCAGUGUAGCGGUGAAAUGCGCAGAUAUUGGGAGGAACACCAGUGGCGAAGGCGGCACUCUGGGCCACGACUGACGCUGAGGCGCGAAAGCUAGGGGAGCAAACA
rnacentral:rRNA from 1 species